UAUGUGUUUUUCUAAUGUUUUUUUUUUUUUUUCUUUUUCUUUUUUUUUCUUUUUUUUCUUCCAACAUUUUUUUGACAUGCCCGCCUCUUGUUUCUGUUGAAGUUAUAAAGACCAAAUAUGGACCAUCGCUAGACCUCACCAAGAUGUAUUACCAAAUGACCCUGUUAAGGAUUUCAUCAUCCCCUUUAGGAGUUAUCUCCCUUUUUUUAUUGAUUUUUUUCAACAUGGCCCCCCUCGUUGGUUUUAAAGAUAUCAUGACCUUAAUUGGACAUAAUGUAGAUCUCAUCAUGAUGUAUUACCAUGUGAGGCUGAAUAGGAUUUCAUCGUCCCCUAUGAGAGUUAUAUCCCCUUGAAACAAUUUCUUUCCUUUGCAUUUUUCUCAAAAAGUAUAAGAGAUAGAAUCGAUUUGAAAACGGCAACAUGUACAAGAACAGAUGGCAAUGUUAAUGAACAUGUACAAUCAUUUUGUUAUUAACCCUUAUAAGGAGUUAUUCCCCUUGAAAAAUUGUGCAUAAUUUUAGAAAAAAUUGUAUUUCGAGAACCAGAAGUCGUAGAGACUUGGGACCUUCACCAAUAAUCUUUAAUUCAUGUGACCUUUAAUAUGCAGUCAAGGUCAAAGGUCACUGAGUGCAAAAAAAAAUUACGCUGCAAUUUCAAGCUUACAUAUUAGGAAAACGAUAAGACUUUGCUGCAUACAUUUACAGCGUAUAAAAUGUUCCUCUCGACGAGCUCUACAUUUUAUAUGAUAAGUCCAAAAAUGUCCGACUGUCUGUUCAAAAGUUACAACGGGAUGAUUCUUAAAAGUAUAGUAUUUUGUGUAUAUCUUUUUAAAGGUAACAGAUAUCAACCUACUAUAAACUGCAAAGAUGAUCAGUAAUUCAAGACCGUCAAUUUGAGGUCAAUGUCAGGUCAUGAUGAAAUUUCACCUUGACCUUCACAGUAUACUAUGACCUUGACCUUGUGAUAUUUGAAAGGUCAAGUGGUCCUGAGUUGAAUGGUGGUAGUCCCAUGUCUCUACGACUUCCGGUUCUCAAGUUUGGUAUUGCAUCAUAUAUUUGAUGAUUAAUUGUGACCUUGGUGAACUUUGAAAUUG
rnacentral:lncRNA from 1 species